GUCAAACAUGGUGGUGCUUAUCUGUAGUCCCAGCUACUUGGGAAACUGAGGCAGGAGAAUCUCUUGAGCUCAGGAGUUUAAGACCUAUUUGGGCAACAUAGAAAGAUCCAAUCUCAA
rnacentral:sRNA from 1 species